rnacentral:pre_miRNA from 1 species
AAUAAGCCAAUUUUUCACUUUUUACCUAUAAUUUUUGACUCUUCGUCUUAUUUAAUUUUUUUACAAUUGAUAUUUUUAUUUUUAUUAGAUGAUAAAUUAUAAAUAGUACUUUGCGUGUGACUAUUUUUUUUUUAAUUUUUUAAAAGUUUUUUAAAUAAGACGGAUGGUCAAACAUUAGAGACGGAAAU